UAAAACGUAGGAGGCGAGCGUUAUCCGGAAUUACUGGGCGUAAAGGGCGUCUAGGCGGGUCUUCAAGCGUGGUGUGAAAGCUCCUGGCUCAACUGGGAGAGUGCGCCGCGGACUGAGGGUCUUGGAGGGCAGGUGAAGGGGGUGGAAUUCCCGGUGGAGUGGUGAAAUGCGUAGAGAUCGGGAGGAACACCAGUGGCGCAAGCGGCCCCCUAACCUGAACCUGACGCUGAAGCGCGACAGCGUGGGGAGCAAACGGGAUUAGAUACCCCGGUAGUCCACGCCGUAAACGAUGGUGACUAGGUGUGCGAGGUUAUUGACCCCUCGUGUGCCGGAGCUAACGCGUUAAGUCACCCGCCUGGGGAGUACGGCGCACAGGCU
rnacentral:rRNA from 1 species